GAAAAAGGAACAAAGGCUAAGAACGCAACGUCCUGUUGCGAUGCCUUUGUAACUUAAUUCCUGUGAG
rfam:Domibacillus enclensis strain NIO-1016 genome assembly, contig: Ga0061089_102